rnacentral:rRNA from 1 species
AUGUACAUUCUUACAACAUAGCAUUAAUGCACCGGAUCCCAUUACAACUCAGUUAAGCGUUCUCAAGCUAGAGUAGUACUGGGAUGGGUCCCCACCGGAGAAGUCCUAGUAUUUUACAUG